GUGAAUCAUCGAAUUUUUGAACGCAUAUUGCACUCUCUGGUAUUCCGGAGAGUAUGCCUGUUUGAGGGUCAGUUAAAUAAAAAUCGAGGUUUUUGCCGCCUUUUCGUGGUGAAGUUUUGGAAUUGGGUCGUCUUUACUUUUAGGUUAAGUGAAUUAAUAUUUUUGAAUGAUAUUUGAACGCAUUUAAAUUUAUUUGGUAAGUUUUGUAAUUUCAUAUGUUUAUUAGGUGUGGUCUUCCUUAUGAUUCAUGUCUAUAAUUUUUUUUCUAAUGUCUUCAACUCAGGUAAGCGGA
rnacentral:misc_RNA from 1 species